rnacentral:rRNA from 1 species
AAUAAUAAGUCAGUGGUGAAAUCCUGCAGCUUAACUGUAGAAUUGCCAUUGAUACUGUUAUUCUUGAAGGCAUUUGAGGUAGGCGGAAUGUGUAAUGUAGCGGUGAAAUGCUUAGAUAUUACCCAGAACACCGAUUGCGUAGGCAGCUUGCUAAACUGUGAUUGACGCUGAGGCACGAAAGCGUGGGUAGCAAACAGGAUUAGAUACCCUGGUAGUCCACGCCGUAAACGAUGAUUACUCGAUGUGUGCAAUAUAUCGUACGCGUCUGAGCGAAAGCAUUAAGUAAUCCACCUGGGGAGUACGGCCGCAAGGUUGAAACUCAAAGGAAUUGACGGGGGCCCGCACAAGCGGAGGAACAUGUGGUUUAAUUCGAUGAUACGCGAGGAACCUUACCUGGGCUUAAAUGUAUUCUGACGUUCCGGGAAACUGGAAUUCCCUUCGGGGCAGAUUACAAGGUGCUGCAUGGUUGUCGUCAGCUCGUGCCGUGAGGUGUCGGGUUAAGUCCCAUAACGAGCGCAACCCCUAUUGUUAGUUGCCAGCGGAUAAUGCCGGGGACUCUAACGAAACUGCCAGUGUAAACUGUGAGGAAGGUGGGGAUGACGUCAAAUCAGCACGGCCCUUACGUCCAGGGCUACACACGUGUUACAAUGGUCGGUACAAAGGGCAGCUACCACGCGAGUGGAUGCUAAUCUCCAAAACCGAUCUUAGUUCGGAUUGAAGUCUGCAACUCGACUUCAUGAAGCUGGAUUCGCUAGUAAUCGCACAUCAGCCAUGGUGCGGUGAAUACGUUCCCGGGCCUUGUACACACCGCCCGUCAAGCCAUGGAAGCACGGGGGUACACUGAAGUCCGUAACCGC